rnacentral:rRNA from 1 species
UACGAAGGGGGCUAGCGUUGUUCGGAAUCACUGGGCGUAAAGGGCGCGUAGGCGGCUGUUCAAGUCGGGGGUGAAAUCCCGUGGCUCAACCACGGAAUGGCCUUCGAUACUGGACGGCUCGAGACCGGAAGAGGCGAGUGGAACUGCGAGUGUAGAGGUGAAAUUCGUAGAUAUUCGGAAGAACACCAGUGGCGAAGGCGACUUACUGGACACAUAUUGACGCUGAGGUGCGAAAGCGUGGGGAGCAAACAGG